rnacentral:lncRNA from 1 species
UUCUUGUCACUGUCACAGCUGUGAGCAUUGGCAAGUCCUCCAGAUAGAUUUUCCUUUUCUCUUAAAUGUUUGUCUAAAAUUAAUUCUGACUGUUUUGAAGAGGUAGCUGAGCACUCAAGAGGGUUUUGCAGAGCAGCAUCACCAGCCCUGGCAGAGGCUCCAGAGGUGUCACGUUUGGUGUUGUGUGUGAGUGUCUCCCAGACAUGGAAACCAAGUCCAUGUCCGCAUAGAGCUGGAAGGGGUGAGUGGCUGACAUGCCACUGGGCAGACCUGGAGGGAAAUCCAUGGGCUUGGAGCCUUAAAUGCCAUUAUACCGUGUGGUCUCCAAGGGUAUAAGAUGGCCUGAGUCAUCAUGGGCCUUCAAACCCUGGACAGUUGAGAAAAACAGUCAUUUUUAAAAAUGUCAUUGAAUGACUUUGCCUUUGCUCUUCAGUAUCUUAUGACAUCAACCGCAGCUCCCGCUUUGCACACAGAGAUCAACGAACAUAGGAAGAACCUGGCUCAACGUUGGAAGGGAUGCCGGUGUUUCAUGGGUUUCUGUGUAUUCCAUGGGUUUGGAUGGUUUGUGGUCUUUUCAGUUAGCAGCUAGAACCAUGCUUUCACCCAGCAGCUGAAACUCUUGUCUAUUAGGUGUGGGCCUGUGAGGGAGCGGGUCUGCUGUGCUUGUGUCAUGUGGUUGUGAACAGACUCUUCCUAUAUGCUGAUUGGAAUUGAUAUUAUAAAUAUUUCCUCUAUGCUACAGACAGAGAGUCUUGGCUUAACUGUUCCUGUUUGUCCUCGGUUUUAGGUGCAGUUUUAAUUGGUCCUGGGUGGACAAGGUAGGACCUAGUUCAGCCUGAGGGGGGAAUGAGAGACUUCUGUUCUUAGCUUGUCCUGUCUUCUCUGUGGGAGUUUUGUCCAUCAUCACGUGACUACUGAGUCUUACUCAUUUGUAUAUCCUCAGAAGUUGGGGUCUCAGACUAUUGCCCAACACCUGGUUUUAUAAAUCAAGUGGUGCUGGAACAUGGCCAUGCUGUAAUGCAGAGUUGAGUGGUGGCAGUGGGAUCCAUAUGGUCCAGAAAGCCCAAGUUGUUUACUCUCUGGCCCUUUAUGGAAAAAUGUUUGCUGACCCCUGUUCAAGACCACCAGGAGGUGCUUGGCACAUGGUAGAUUCAUAGCAAGGCAUGUGUUCAGUGAAUGCCUGAAAAAUGGUUGAGUGGAGUAGUUUGUCAUUCUGCAGUUGGGGUGUCCAUUCCUAGAGGCUGUGGACGAGGGGAGGUUGUGGGUUCAAUCUCAGGAAUGAGGGCUGGGUGUCAUAACUUAGUGUGACCUGGUGCCUCUGUUGGGAGAGGAGUGGCUGGUGCUAUCCAUUUAUCUAGUUAUCAGAUAUUUAUUGAGCCAAACAGUUGCUGAGCACCAAUAAGGUGACAGUAGUUAUGGAGCACAUACUACUUGCUGGCCACACUGGGCUACCUAUGUGUUGUCUGAGGUGUUCAUAACUUUCCUGCAAUACCUCUGCUCCUCAGAUGAUAACGUGAGACCUAGACAUUGCUUCACUUUCCAGCAUUAUACCCUGAGAAAGUGGCAGAACCAUGUUCUAAGCUUGGGUCUGUCUGACAUCGGAACCUGUGGUCUCCCUGCUGAGACUGUUCCCCUACACUCAAUGGGGGCACUUAGCAAGUGGAUGCCAAUGAGCCUGGUCCCUGAUCUUAAGGGGUUUGUAGUCUAGAGGGGGUCUGAAUUGUCUCAAGUCCUUUUUGGAAAAAGGUACCAGGAAGACGAUAAGACUUCCUAGACAAGAGAAAGAUGGCAGACCAGAGAAAGAUAGGAACAUGGACUGUUACUGUUGACCACAGGAGUAAUACCAUUCAGAGCAUGCCCCAGGCAUUGUUUCUUUCAAUCUGAAGAACCCCGUGUGAUGGGCACUGCAGACUUGAAUUAGGUCCCCCCCAAAAGGUGACUCCAAGUCCUGUAUCCUGGUACCUGAGAAAGUGACCCCUGUUGGAAGUUGAGUAGGGGUGCCUGCAGGUGCAGAGUUGGGCAGAGCAGCAUGGGUUCUGGGCUGCAAGGGCUUUAAGUUUCAGGUGUGCCUCUGACUCCGUGCUGACCCAAUGUCACAAUGUGCCCUUCUGAGAAGAGCCUGUGGUGCUGCCCUCUUCAGUCUUAGGCUGUGUUCCGCAGCAGGCAGAGGGGAAGUCGCCCUGACGAGAUCACCGUGGGAAGCCAGCCUUCCCCAUAGGAUGGCUGACGCUGGCCUGCAUCCACCUGGGGGACAGGCUGCCAGGGCUCUCACCCCACCUCCACCAUCCAAUUUCCCUUUCCAGCCUCUCUCUUCUCUGGGGGAGGCAGGUAGCUAAAGAUCAGCCAGCCAAGUAGCUGCUGGUUUUGUCAGAUCAAUUCAUCAGAUUAACCUUGGAAACUAAGGGCCUAGUGGCCCAGAGGGUGAAAGGAAGAGACACUUUUGGAGUCUACCAUGAUUUUUUUGCUUGUUUUUAUUUUGUGAAAAAUCACAGCAGCUUUUGGAGAUGGUCUCAUAUCCCUAUUUUAUGCCCAGGGAAAGGAGGUUUAAGGCCUUACUUGAUGGAGCCGAGGAGUCGCAGAAAGUGGUCAUGCUGUGAUUUGAACCCAGAGUCUUUCUGACUUCCAAGGUCUUGCUCUCAACAGUUGGUUCUGGAGCAGGAGGUGCUCUCCGGGAGGGGAACGUGAGGUGGGGCCUCCCAGUAGGUGGUCUGCAUGGGGACUGUGGGAGAGGGGUAAAAAGCCAAGGGACUGUCUUGACAUGUUUCGCAGUUUGACUUAGUCCUGGCUCAGCAGCUACUCAGACUUCUGAGCCGUAUGUCACGCGCCUUCAUUUUAAGGUGAGCACGAAUAGGCUACUUUCUCCCACUGGGCAAUGCUGCCCAGUCUUCCCCUCUGGGGUUCCUCUUCCUAAGCCACAGUGUCUUUAAGGAGCUCACAGUCACAUACUAGAUACACACGGGAUGUUUCAUUACCUGCUUAGGAAGAUGUACCCAGAAGCUAUUGUCAUGAUUUCACUGGUAUAGCAAAUACAUUAAUGUGUUUUCUGUUGUUACAUCCAUUUUUUGCUUUGGGUAUUGUCUAACCUGCCCCAUUACCUCCUCCAUGUCCCCCCUUCCCCAGCCCCCACCAUCUCUGCCCUCAUCAUGUCCUUACAGUGGAGGGUAGAUAUAUUAUAGUCUAGAUGGAGCGUGAUUCACGUGCACGACAUUUGCUCCACCAAGCUGUCGGUCUGGUGAGUUUAUUUGGUGUGGGUCUUAGGGAGUUGUUAUAUGAAUAUCUUAGAGGAAGCAAAGGAGAAUGAUGAAUGCUUGGAAAGCUCUUCCCUGACAUUCUAAUUCUUACUCACUAAGUGUUAAAGUGGCAAUAUUUAGUCUGAUGACUCAGUCUGUGCAGGGGAAUUGGUUUUAGUGUUAUCACCACUGGGGCUCACGAAUUGAUCCACCACUAAGGUCUGAAUUACCCGAGAGAUGAGUUUACUUGGACUCUGGGAAGAGGACAGUCUUCAGCCCCACUCGCCCCACAGCCUCUGUUGUCAUGUCAAGUCCUGGUGAGUGACUUGCCUGAUAGGGCCACCAGACAUGUCUUGGCAUAUUGAAGGAAAAUUUCACAUUCAAAUCAGAUGCUGAUUUAAUGUAUGAUUUAUGGCUAUUAAGCCAAAGAAAUGAGUGAAAACUUUAAAAUCAUUGGCUCAUCUUAUGUGAUUUUUUUAAGCAGCACUGGUAGCCUCCAGUGGGUGAGAGAUGCUGCUCAGAAGUAUUUGCAGUGUGUUUGGGGAACAGAAAAAGUAUUAAGAGACCUUGUCACUUGAACAGUGUCUUUUUGAACAUGAAACCCUCCUUUUUUGUUAUUUAAAGCCACAGGAUGGCACAGAAGGAACACAUUCGCAUAUUACCCAGGAUCUCUUUUUCUUUGCAGUGAAGAUAAAUCUGUAUAUGUUUGAUCUCUCAUGUUUGAAGGAAAUUAAAAUAAAUUUAUUACGAUGAAACUCUUUUCAGAUGGUUCAUCUGUCUUUGUUGUGAAAGAAAGCCAGAAUGAGUUUUCAUUCUAGUGGCUCGAAAACAUGAUCCUGACAUUAUCAGUACCGGGAGGCGGGUGGUGGGCUGGCACUUCUUACCCAACGCCGCCGCACCUCUGUAGCACUCUGAGCCCGGGGGCCUGCCGUUGAGGUUAGGUGGCCAUGGGAGAGUGUUCUGAUUGCUUUUAGGCUUUCUCUGCUUCCUGUGGGAGAGCAGGGUGCAGGCCAGAGUGGGGCAGGGAGGGGAGGAGGCUCGGGAAGCAGUCCCAGCUGUGCAAAAGCCAAGCCUGUGGAGAACUGUGAGGUGCCUCGGGGUGCACCAGCCAUCUUGCAGAUGAGUCUUGGACACCUCAGGAUGUAAUAAGUGCCUUUCCCUGCCUCUGCUGCUUUUCUUUCCUGCUGAUGACUUGCCUCGGGUCUCACAUCCUUGCUCCCCAGGAGGGAACUGAGUUAGUAGUGGUGAUCAUGGGGUGCUGGCUAGACUGUGCAAAACAGCCUUUGCUUUGGGCACUGGGCCCUGGUCUGGGCUGCUGAAGCCAGGGGGAAGGGCUCCUGCUACAGAACAUGCUCGCCUAUGGUCAUGAAACCCCAUCUGGCCACUUUGCUCAGAAAGGGGGCCAUCAGCUUGUGGUGGUUGGUAGCAUCUUCAUCUCCUCUCUGGCUCAGGUAGGGACUCUGACCUCAUUUGCAUGAGGGGCCUUUGGCCACCCGUUUCCAGCUCAGAAACCGUAGCCCUCCGUGCCAGAGACAAACGGCUGCUCUUUAGCUCAACCUUCAGCUUUGGCUUUGAUGGUCAGCUAGCUUAUUCUCAUCUUACGGAGCUGGAGGGGCUGUCCUCUCGCACCUGUACUCCCGGUACCACCUCUUUCUCACUGCUGCCAUCCUUACCUCCUCACAUCUUCCUGAAGCCUCACGGCCCCAGCCAUCCGCCCUGGCUGUCCCUCGGGCGGCAGUUCCCAUGCAGGGUUGGAGCUAAGACGUGCAAGGGGCCAGGUGAUUGUGUUGCGUUUCUUCCGAGUCUGUCUCCUGAUUUUCAUUUAGUCUCCUCUGAUUUCUUUUAGGCCGGUCUCAUUUCUCUGUAGGCCAAAGACUUACUUUCAGGGCUAAUAUGAUUAAUUUGUUGACUAGAAUCUGUCCUUUGUAGAAAAACAUCGAGGAGUUUGCUCUCAACCCAUUGGAGGAGAAUGCUGAAUUCUGCAGCUGGUGGUCAUGUGGAAGCAGAAAAAGUAGCCCUCCUCUCACGAUUGAUCUGUCAGCUUAUUUAAUUGCUUGUGUCUUGCUUUGUGCCAAAAACUUAAUUUAUUAUUCCACGAGUAAUACAUGUUCCUUGUAGAAAAUAAAAAAAAAAA